AUUAGAAUUAUUUUUAUCAAAAAUUUCUAUAGCUAGCAACUCCAACAGUUUGUGUGGUGCAAUACGAAUGGCAUGAAAAUUGGUAUGACCAGAAUUCGAUCCAAUAACCCUGCCCACGGUAGCACGCCCUGCUACUCCCUUGGCUACUUCAACCGAAUAAAAUAUUAUGCACAUACAUAUAUACAGAAAUAUGUUGUGCAAACGAAGUAUUGUAUCCGGCAAUAUCUGACCGACUGGAAGAAUAUAAAACUUCGGAUUGUAGCGAUGAAUGUUUUCAACAUUGGGGGUUUUAACGAUAUUUGCUGUACCAGAUAUCGGCAAAUUGGUGCCCAACUUGGACUUAGGUUUUCCUGCCGGUGGACUUCGCGGAAAGGAUGUGAAGAUAAUUACCGACAAAAACGGAAAG